AACUCGCUCAACGACCAAUUUCUUUAGCCACUUCAUCGCCCACAUAUUCCAGGUAUUAGUCUGAUGCCUUUCUCUAAGGUUAUGAUCUUUCCAAAAUCCCCCAUGGUUAGAUCAUAAGUAGAAUGAAAAUUUUAGAGUCCUAAGUAUGGCCUUUCUAAGGUUCUCUUUUAAAAUACAAGUUAAUAGGUUCAUUAUGUUGCAUCACUAGUUUGGUAUCUCUUAAAUUCUAUUUAUUAUUAUGUCUGCAUUCCAUAUUUUGACAAAUUGAAAAAUACCAGUAGACGUUGCUUUAUAUUUUUAUUAUAAAGCAACCAAAUAUUUUAUUACACUAAAAACAAUCUUUAUA